UUACCAUGCAAGUCGAACGAUGAACCACUUCGGUGGGGAUUAGUGGCGAACGGGUGAGUAACACGUGGGUAAUCUGCCCUUCACUCUGGGACAAGCCCUGGAAACGGGGUCUAAUACCGGAUAUCACUUGCGCAGGCAUCUGUGCGGGUUGAAAGCUCCGGCGGUGAAGGAUGAGCCCGCGGCCUAUCAGCUUGUUGGUGAGGUAACGGCUCACCAAGGCGACGACGGGUAGCCGGCCUGAGAGGGCGACCGGCCACACUGGGACUGAGACACGGCCCAGACUCCUACGGGAGGCAGCAGUGGGGAAUAUUGCACAAUGGGCGCAAGCCUGAUGCAGCGACGCCGCGUGAGGGAUGACGGCCUUCGGGUUGUAAACCUCUUUCAGCAGGGAAGAAGCGCAAGUGACGGUACCUGCAGAAGAAGCGCCGGCUAACUACGUGCCAGCAGCCGCGGUAAUACGUAGGGCGCAAGCGUUGUCCGGAAUUAUUGGGCGUAAAGAGCUCGUAGGCGGCUUGUCACGUCGGGUGUGAAAGCCCGGGGCUUAACCCCGGGUCUGCAUUCGAUACGGGCAGGCUAGAGUGUGGUAGGGGAGAUCGGAAUUCCUGGUGUAGCGGUGAAAUGCGCAGAUAUCAGGAGGAACACCGGUGGCGAAGGCGGAUCUCUGGGCCAUUACUGACGCUGAGGAGCGAAAGCGUGGGGAGCGAACAGGAUUAGAUACCCUGGUAGUCCACGCCGUAACGGUGGGAACUAGGUGUUGGCGACAUUCCACGUCGUCGUGCCUAGCUAACGCAUUACGUCCCCCGCCUGGGGAGUACGGCCGCAGGCUAAAACUCAAGGAAUUGACGGGGGCCCGCACAAGCAACGGACCAGUGGCUUAAUUG
rnacentral:rRNA from 1 species